rnacentral:snRNA from 1 species
UUACUCGCUUCGGCGGUACAUAUACUAAAAUUGGAACGAUACAGAGAAGAUUAGCAUGGCCCCUGCGCAAGGAUGGCACGCAAAAUCGUGAAGCGUUCCACAUUUGU